rnacentral:rRNA from 1 species
AUUGAACGCUGGCGGCAGGCUUAACACAUGCAAGUCGAACGGUAACAUAAAGAAGCUUGCUUCUUUGAUGACGAGUGGCGGACGGGUGAGUAAUGCUUGGGAAUCUAGCUUAUGGAGGGGGAUAACUACGGGAAACUGUAGCUAAUACCGCGUAGAAUCGAGAGAUGAAAGUGUGGGACCUUCGGGCCACAUGCCAUAGGAUGAGCCCAAGUGGGAUUAGGUAGUCGGUGAGGUAAAGGCUCACCAAGCCGACGAUCUCUAGCUGGUCUGAGAGGAUGACCAGCCACACUGGGACUGAGACACGGCCCAGACUCCUACGGGAGGCAGCAGUGGGGAAUAUUGCGCAAUGGGGGCAACCCUGACGCAGCCAUGCCGCGUGAAUGAAGAAGGCCUUCGGGUUGUAAAGUUCUUUCGGUAGCGAGGAAGGCAUUUAGUUUAAUAGACUAGGUGAU